UCUACAGGCUUAACACAUGCAAGUCGAGGGGCAGCAUUUUAGUUUGCUUGCAAACUGAAGAUGGCGACCGGCGCACGGGUGAGUAGCACGUAUCCAACCUGCCGAUAACUCCGGAAUAGCCUUUCGAAAGAAAGAUUAAUACCGGAUGGCAUACGAAUAUCGCAUGAUAUUUUUAUUAAAGAAUUUCGGUUAUCGAUGGGGAUGCGUUCCAUUAGUUUGUUGGCGGGGUAACGGCCCACCAAGACUACGAUGGAUAGGGGUUCUGAGAGGAAGGUCCCCCACAUUGGAACUGAGACACGGUCCAAACUCCUACGGGAGGCAGCAGUGAGGAAUAUUGGUCAAUGGGCGCGAGCCUGAACCAGCCAAGUAGCGUGAAGGAUGAAGGCUCUAUGGGUCGUAAACUUCUUUUAUAUGGGAAUAAAGUUUUCCACGUGUGGAAUUUUGUAUGUACCAUAUGAAUAAGGAUCGGCUAACUCCGUGCCAGCAGCCGCGGUAAUACGGAGGAUCCGAGCGUUAUCCGGAUUUAUUGGGUUUAAAGGGAGCGUAGGUGGAUUGUUAAGUCAGUUGUGAAAGUUUGCGGCUCAACCGUAAAAUUGCAGUUGAAACUGGCAGUCUUGAGUACAGUAGAGGUGGGCGGAAUUCGUGGUGUAGCGGUGAAAUGCUUAGAUAUCACGAAGAACUCCGAUUGCGAAGGCAGCUCACUAGACUGUCACUGACACUGAUGCUCGAAAGUGUGGGUAUCAAACAGGAUUAGAUACCCUGGUAGUCCACACAGUAAACGAUGAAUACUCGCUGUUUGCGAUAUACAGUAAGCGGCCAAGCGAAAGCAUUAAGUAUUCCACCUGGGGAGUACGCCGGCAACGGUGAAACUCAAAGGAAUUGACGGGGGCCCGCACAAGCGGAGGAACAUGUGGUUUAAUUCGAUGAUACGCGAGGAACCUUACCCGGGCUUAAAUUGCAACAGAAUAUAUUGGAAACAGUAUAGCCGUAAGGCUGUUGUGAAGGUGCUGCAUGGUUGUCGUCAGCUCGUGCCGUGAGGUGUCGGCUUAAGUGCCAUAACGAGCGCAACCCUUAUCUUUAGUUACUAACAGGUCAUGCUGAGGACUCUAGAGAGACUGCCGUCGUAAGAUGUGAGGAAGGUGGGGAUGACGUCAAAUCAGCACGGCCCUUACGUCCGGGGCUACACACGUGUUACAAUGGGGGGUACAGAAGGCGGCUACCUGGUGACAGGAUGCUAAUCCCAAAAACCUCUCUCAGUUCGGAUCGAAGUCUGCAACCCGACUUCGUGAAGCUGGAUUCGCUAGUAAUCGCGCAUCAGCCAUGGCGCGGUGAAUACGUUCCCGGGCCUUGUACACACCGCCCGUCAAGCCAUGAAAGCCGGGGGUACCUGAAGUACGUAACCGCAAGGAGCGUCCUAGGGUAAAACUGGUAAUUG
rnacentral:rRNA from 1 species